rnacentral:rRNA from 1 species
UACGUAGGUGGCAAGCGUUGUCCGGAUUUACUGGGCGUAAAGAGCGCGCAGGCGGUCGUGCAAGUCGCGUGUGAAAGCCCCCGGCUCAACUGGGGAGGGUCACGCGAUACUGUUCGACUCGAAGGCAGGAGAGGGAAGCGGAAUUCCCGGUGUAGUGGUGAAAUGCGUAGAUAUCGGGAGGAACACCAGUGGCGAAGGCGGCUUCCUGGCCUGUUCUGACGCUGAGGCGCGAGAGCGUGGGGAGCGAACUGG